GUUUUAAUAGUUUAACAAAAACUUUGGUCUUGUAAAUCAAAAAUGAAUUCUUUUCUUAAAACU
rnacentral:tRNA from 1 species